AGCGAACGCUGGCGGCAGGCCUAACACAUGCAAGUCGAACGGACCCUUCGGGGUUAGUGGCGGACGGGUGAGUAACACGUGGGAACGUGCCUUUAGGUUCGGAAUAGCUCCUGGAAACGGGUGGUAAUGCCGAAUGUGCCCUUCGGGGGAAAGAUUUAUCGCCUUUAGAGCGGCCCGCGUCUGAUUAGCUAGUUGGUGGGGUAAUGGCCCACCAAGGCUACGAUCAGUAGCUGGUCUGAGAGGAUGACCAGCCACAUUGGGACUGAGACACGGCCCAAACUCCUACGGGAGGCAGCAGUGGGGAAUCUUGCGCAAUGGGCGAAAGCCUGACGCAGCCAUGCCGCGUGUAUGAUGAAGGUCUUAGGAUUGUAAAAUACUUUCACCGGUGAAGAUAAUGACUGUAGCCGGAGAAGAAGCCCCGGCUAACUUCGUG
rnacentral:rRNA from 1 species